rnacentral:tRNA from 1 species
GUGCUUGUGGUGUAGUGGUUAUCACAUCCGCUUCACACGCGGAAGGUCCCAGGUUCGAAACUUGGCAAGUACA